rnacentral:rRNA from 1 species
GGCAAAAGCUCAAAUUUGAAAUCUGGCGCCUUCGGUGUCCGAGUUGUAAUUUGAAGAUUGUAACCUUGGGGUUGGCUCUUGUCUAUGUUUCUUGGAACAGGACGUCACAGAGGGUGAGAAUCCCGUGCGAUGAGAUGCCCAAUUCUAUGUAAGGUGCUUUCGAAGAGUCGAGUUGUUUGGGAAUGCAGCUCUAAGUGGGUGGUAAAUUCCAUCUAAAGCUAAAUAUUGGCGAGAGACCGAUAGCGAACAAGUACAGUGAUGGAAAGAUGAAAAGAACUUUGAAAAGAGAGUGAAAAAGUACGUGAAAUUGUUGAAAGGGAAGGGUUUGAGAUCAGACUCGAUAUUUUGUGAGCCUUGCCUUCGUGGCGGGGUGACCCGCAGCUUAUCGGGCCAGCAUCGGUUUGGGCGGUAGGAUAAUGGCGUAGGAAUGUGACUUUACUUCGGUGAAGUGUUAUAGCCUGCGUUGAUGCUGCCUGCCUAGACCGAGGACUGCGAUUUUAUCAAGGAUGCUGGCAUAAUGAUCCCAAACCGCCCGU